rfam:Medicago truncatula strain A17 chromosome 2, whole genome shotgun sequence.
GUGUCAUGGUCAUUGUUGACCAUUCAUAUAAUCGCUGCAAUUGAUUUGCAGCUUAUGCAGAGAUUAUACGACGGUCAACGUAGACCUUUGACAC